UACGGAGGGUGCAAGCGUUUAUCCGGAUUCACUGGGUUUAAAGGGUGCGUAGGUGGGUCUGUAAGUCCGUGGUGAAAUCUCCGAGCUUAACUUGGAAACUGCCAUGGAUACUAUAGGUCUUGAAUACUGUGGAGGUUAGCGGAAUAUGUCAUGUAGCGGUGAAAUGCUUAGAUAUGACAUAGAACACCAAUUGCGAAGGCAGCUGGCUACACAAAUAUUGACACUGAGGCACGAAAAGCGUGGGGGAUCAAAACAGG
rnacentral:rRNA from 1 species